rnacentral:lncRNA from 1 species
GGAAAACUACUAAAAGGUAUUUCACUGCAACAAAAAUUGAUUGAUAUUACUUGGUCCUAAAAAAAGUACUUGUGUAUAUACUCUUCAAUAGUUAAUGUUCCUUUUGUUCGCAGGGUAAACAAUCUUGGGUCAUGUGCUCUUUUCUCUUUACUUUGGAGUUUGUGUGGUUGUAAUCUCUUAUCAAUUUUGUAGGUUUGCUCUUUUCCUACACUUUUCAUGUGGGUGUUAAAUUUUGUUCUUCAUGAGAUAUAAAUUGUAUACUUUCUCAUCCAUUUCAUGGUUUGUUUACUUUCUCAUCCAUUUUCUACCGUCUUUGUUAGUUUCAUAUACUUUUUAUUUUUUGGCUGUUGUUAUUUUUUGGAUUCACAUCUGUUUCAUUUUCUGCCUGCUUUGUUCUUCCAAUUUAUAUUCCAUUUUUACUUUAGUUAAUACAAAUAUAUAGAUUUAAUCCUUGAUCAUGUCAAACAAAAUUAAUUAGGAUUGUUUACCAUUUUCCAUAGGUAUGCAUGUUUUCCCUCCUCUGUCAAUAUUAAUGAUAAUUCUUUUGAGGGGCUCUUUUCUACCUUACCAUUUCUAUUGUUUGUAUCUUUCACAUACAGUUAGUAUACUAUGGUACUGCAUAUUUGCUAAAGUUGUGUUCUUUAUCCAAACUUUGUAUCAUGAUUUUUACUUACUUUAAAAUGGUCUGAGAUUUUCCUUAGCUUUGCCUACCUUUGUUGCAUGUCUCACAAUUCCACUCACAGCCACUAUAUCUGCAUUUUCUCUAAAUUUUGGUACUUCAUUUGACUCAAGUCCAGUUAUAUAGUGAUUAUAAAUUUAAGUACAAUGUUUCAAAAUUUCGUUUUCUAAUUUGAAUUGUUCUGUGCACUAUCCAAAUGUUCCCCUGCAAAGUAGUGAGCACAUUGGGUUGUAUCCACUUAUGGUAUAUGUAAAACAAAAAAGUCCUUUUUAUGAACUGACAAUUGUUAAUAUUGUUAUUGAAUUCUUUCCUAGACCAUGCCUCUGGUUUUCUCCAAUUGUAUAUUCUGUUAAUAUUGAACUGACAAUUAAUAUUGUUAUUCAACUGACAAUU